UACGUAGGGUGCGAGCGUUAAUCGGAAUUACUGGGCGUAAAGCGUGCGCAGGCGGCGCGUUAAGACAGGUGUGAAAGCCCCGAGCUUAACUUGGGAAUUGCGCUUGUGACUGGCGUGCUGGAGUGUGGCAGAGGGAGGUGGAAUUCCACGUGUAGCAGUGAAAUGCGUAGAGAUGUGGGAGGAACACCGAUGGCGAAGGCAGCCUCCUGGGCCAGCACUGACGCUCAGUGCACGAAAGCGUGGGGAGCAAACAGG
rnacentral:rRNA from 1 species